UUUUUUUUUUUUUUUUCAGUGAGAAUAUAGUAUUUGAUUGUAGGAAUGAGACGUCAAUAAUCAAGUUUGCUUGUAUGCUUAGAAAGCAUGUGAUGCCUGCCACCUGGGUGGUGUGAACCAGGCGUUUACCCUACAGUUAGACAGGGCAGGCUCCCUGCCUCAUGCAAUAACGCCUUCCACAAUACCUCAUAGCACUGGGGAUGCAGGUAGAGACAGCACCUUACUGACCAGGGGUUAGUGUUCUGGUGGUGGGGGUGCCAUUGGAGGCCUAGGUGCGAACAGGUGAGCAUGUACAGCACAUUCUAAGUGCUACUUUAUUGGUGGGUAGAGGGGGCCCUGGGAGCACAGCAAAGGGGUGCCUGGCCCCCUGGGGAGAGUCAGGGCACAUGGACAGUCAUAACGUGUUACAGAAUGAAUUGUGUCUUCCCCCCAAAUUCAUACAUUGAAGUUAUAACCCUGAGCACUUCAGAAUGGUUCUGUAUUUGGAGACAGGAUUUUCAAAGAGGUAACUAGGGCAAAAUGAUGUCCCAGGGCCAGGCCCUAAUCCAAGGUGACUGGUGUCCUUAUAAUAAGAGAUGGGGACACAGACACAUGCAGAGGGAAGGCCAUGUGAGGGCACAGGGAGGACACUGUCAGUGGGCCAGGAAGAGAGGCCUCAGGAGAAACAACCUCACUGGCACGUUGAGCACGAACUUCAGCCUCCAGCAGCCUGGGGGAAUCAGCUUCAGUGUUUGGAGUCACCCAGCCUCUGGUGUUUGUUACCCAGCCCCCUCUGACUAAUACCUAAGGUAACACAAGGCAUCCAAUGCCAGUGCAGUGACGAGAGAGUGGCAUUAUUAGGGGACAUGCCUAUGUUUCAGGACCUAAAGAAUGUCCUGAUAUUUAGGGAAAGUGGUUUGGGCUCUCAGAGACAGAGGAAGCUUGAGCUGGGUGGGUGAAACAAACCACUCCUGCAAGCAUCCUGCACGCGGCCCCACAGUUCAGCCUGCUCUUGUUCCUGGGAGCCUGGGCCCAGCCACCAGGGCCUGCACUUACAUGGUUUCACCCCCUCUCUUGUAAGGAUUUGUUUCAUCAUCUGUCACCGCAGUCCUAGAAGGCGAAGUGGACCCGGAGCUAGCUGGCAUAUUGUCUUUCAGCAGCUAAGUCGGCCUAAAGGAAGAAGCCUGGGCUGCUCCGUGCAAUGACGCGGCUAAGGGCCCAGCGGGGCCCUGACACUCAGGGACCCAGGAGCAGAGCUGGGGAGAGACAGGCGCACAGGAACUACAGGUGACACCCGCUGGAGGAGCGUGGCGCGGGAUGCGGGCUGGUGCCAGCAGAGCCGGAGCUCAUGGUGCUCAGGGCACCACCCCGCCUUUGGUCGUUGUUUUCCCGUUGAACAGUGUUGCAGAGGACAGUGAGAGAGGGUAAUGUGAACAAUGCAUCGCAGGUGACAGCUCACAGAGCGCCUCUGUGCCCAACCAGUUUGGCUCCUUACCGAGCUCGCCCGGGCCCCGGACUGUGCGUUCCAGGCUUUCUCUGCACUCGACGACGCCAGGCGGCUUUUCUCUGCGGCUGCCGACGUCGCAGGAAAGUGAAGCUACAGAGCAAGCGGCCUCCGCGUGGGUGUGUUUGAAGAGUGGGAGCGCGCUCCUGUGUGCCUGGUCACCCCUGCGUGAGCCGCGCUCGGCGCCCGUCUCCUCCCCGGCCGCCAGGGGCC
rnacentral:lncRNA from 1 species